CGUUAGCAGCAGCGCGGGGAAAGAGCGGCGCCUGCGGAAGCCCCGGGGGAAGGAGGGGCUCCGGCCAGGGGCGGGCUGCGGUCGUAGGGGUCGGCGCUUCUUCUUUCCCUCCCCCUGAGGCCGCCCUGAGGAUGCGGUUGUCCGUUCCUCGCCUGGGGAUGCCAUUGACUGCACCUGCCUCAGGCUCGUGUGGGCUCUCUGCCAGGUCUCCCUCUCCUCGCGGCGUGGGAGCGAAGAGGGACAGGCGGAGCGCUUACUGGCUGUGGACAGGAGCUGCUGCAGCCGAAGCUGGAGAGGCCAGAGAAGGGUAAAGCUGCUGAAGAAUAAAAUAAAGGGGAUCCAGCCAGCAGCUGCAGACGGGAGACAGCCUGCCUCUCCAGGUGAGGAAGGAUCUCUCUCAGUGUAGUCCUCAGCAGAUCUGAUCACCAGUGUGCACGGCAGGGUCUGUACGCGUAACCAAAAGCACAGUAUGGCCACUUAGCGUGUGCGCAUGUGAGGCCGUGUGUCUAGGAAGCCUCAUAUCAUACGAGCUGUAAGACACCAAUCUAUUCUCUUGGGUGGAUGACAGCCAAGUGACUGGAGCUACAGAGGAGGAAGGGAGAGGGAGAGGGAGAGAGAGAGAGAGACGCGUCUGAACUGUCAAAUUCUCCCAGCAGCUCCAAGAGCAGGAGCCUGUGGAGGUCCAUGGCAGAGUAGAUAUGCACCCUGCAGCCAAUGGAGGACCCCACGCCAGAGCAGGCAGAUGCACCCAAAGGAGGCUGUGAUGCUGUGGAGAGGAGCCCACACUGGAGCAGGUUUUCUCGCAGGACCUGCGGCCCCACGGGAGGGACCCCACACUGGAACAGAAGAAGAGCGUGAAAGAGAAGGAAGCAGCAGAGACAACUUGUGAUGAACUGACUGCAACUCCUGCUACCUCUCCCCCUAUGCUGCUCAGCGGGAGGAGGUAGAGAAGUCAGGAGUGAAGACAAGCCCAGGAAAAAAAGAGAGGGGUGGGGGGAAGGUGUUCUUUAGAUUUGUUCCUAUUUCUCAUUAUCCUACUCUGAUUUUCACUGACAAUAAAUUAAUUUCCCCAAGU